ensembl:lncRNA
CAGAGCACGAGCCGCAGGUGUUGGCUGAGCUGGGCAAGGUGCACAGGGCUCCUGGCAGCCCGCAGAUCCCCGAUUUCCCUGGGCAUGGAGGUGCCCUUUGUGCUGCUCCUGAGCCGGCUUGUGGCUGAAGUGGCUGGAAAAUCCCCAGAAAACUCAGUGCCGGGAGCCCCAGAGUGCUGUGAGGGGAGGUCAGACCCCAACGGCUCCUGCCCGCACUGCAGCCCAGGCUGCUACCGGCGCUGGAACGAGGACGGGAGCGGCGGCGGCUGCGUCCGGUGCCGGAACCAGAGCCUGGGGCAGCCCCUCGGUGACUGUGGCAGUGGGGGCCCUGAGGUCGCGGCUUCGCUGAUUUUGGGGACGUUUUUCCUCAGUUUGUUCCUGAUCCUUUCUGUGGCUUCUUUCUUCUACCUCAAAAGAGCAAACAAACUCCCAAAGGUUUUCUACAGGAGGAACAAAGUGCGGAAGCCGCGCUACGUCCGCCGCGAGCGCUCGCUGGGCCCGGCCGAGAGCCGGGUCAGCAACGUCUGAGCCCAGCUGGAGAUCCCGGAGAUCCCGAUCCUGGAAAUCCUGAUCCUGGGAAAUCCCAGCCCCAGGAGAUCCCGGGAGAUCCUGAUCCCAGGAGAUCCCAAUCCCAGAAAAUCCCGAUCCCAGGAAAUCCCAAUCCCGGGAAAUCCCGAUCCUGGAAAUCCCGAGGAUUCCUCAUGGAUUUGGGGGAUUUUCCCUGUUGGGGGAGAAUUCCUGAGGGAUCUGGGGGAUUUUUGGUGUUGGGGAGAAUUCAUGAGGGAUUUGGGGACUUUCCUUGGGAUGUGACCCCAAAAUCCUGGGAUUUGGGAUGUGGAUCCAUUCCGGGCUGGCAAAGGGAUCCUCUCAAGCCCCACUGCUUUAAGCUGGGACGGCAAUUAAUUAUGCUAAUUAAAAAUGAUAAUGAAUUAUCCUAAUUAAUAAUGCUAAUCAUGCUGAUUAACGAUGAAUAAUUAAAUAUUUCAACAAUGAAGAUGCAGAAUCCUUUGGAAGCAAAUCCCAGAUCCCGCUGGGAGCGUUUUGGGAUAAUCCAGGCCUGAUCCCAAAGCUUGGGGUUUUUUUGGGGAUUUUUUGGGAAUUUUUCCAGCUCAAUCCUUGGAUUCGGGGUUCUCCAAGGGAUAAUCCAUUCCUGGUGGAAUUGGGAAUUCCUGCUUUUGAGAUUUUUGGGAUGAGCCACAGGGAUCGGGACAACUCCUGCCAGUGGAAAAAUGGGAUUUUGGCUUUGGGAAAUCCCUGGAAUUCAAGCUCCAGAGGCAUUCCCAAAUUCCAGAGGCAUUCCCAAAUUCCAGGCACCAGCCUCAACUUCUCCCCUGGAGCUUGAUUCUACUGGAGGGAUUUUAGGAAUUUCAAACAGCUGGAAAAGGAAUUUUUUCCUGGCUGGGUCUCCCUGCUGCUGCUUUUCCUGCAGCCGGAGGGUCCCAAAUCCAUGGAAAAGUCACUGCCACCCCCUGGAAUUCCAGCUUUUCCUCCUGGCUGGGCUGGCUCUGGGAUCCAUCCCAAAUCCCUGGAAUUUCUCUGUCACUCCCUGGAAUUCCAGCUUUUCCUUCUGGAUCCCAAAUCCAUGGAAAAGUCACUGUCACCCUCUGGAAAAUCCCAAAUCCAUCCCAAAUCCCUGUAAUUUCACUGGAAUUCCAGCUUUUCCUCCUGGAUCCCAAAUCCAUCCCAAAUCCCUGGAAUUCCUCUUUCCCCCUGGAAUUCCAGCUUUUUCCAGUAUUUUUUAUGGAAAAAUGAGCACAAACCUGGAUCUGCUCCAAACCCUCCGAGAGGAGAAUUGGGAUGGGCAGAAAUCCAUUUAUCCCAUGGAAUAAUCCCAUUUUUUCUGGGAAUUUUGGGGCAGCCAGAUUUGCUUCAAUCUCCUCAAAACCUGAUGAGAUUUUGGUGGAAUUUUCAGGGAUAAAGCCCAAAUCAUGGCAAGGUUCCCGUGCCAAAAAAUUCCAAAAUUUUCCUCUUUAUUAUGAUAAAUAAAAACUUUUUACUCCUGGCCAAGGAAUUCCAAAUGAAAUUUCCAAUUUUUUCGGAGAUUCCAGCUUGGAAUUUUGAUCAUUUCCAAUUUGCUGCUGCUGAGAUUUUUUGGGUUUUCCUUCCUAAUGAGGAAAUUUUUAUCCUGGAAUUCAGAAUUCCUGAGGAUUUUCCAAAUUCCCAAGGAUUUUCUGAAUUCCAAAGGGG